GAGGCUAUUGCUGCCUAAAUUAUUAACUAAAUAAAAUGUUAAAAGCAAUAACUUUUGAAUUUGUCAAGUAGUAAAAGCCACAUUGAAGUACAAAUGCUCCAUAAGAUUAACCAAAAACCGAAAUGAUUGCAAGGACGACAUCGUAGCUGGGAACUAAUUGAAGAUGCAUAUCAAUGUUUAAUGAAAACUGUUGUUGAAUGUGUAGGUAACAAAGGAUGAAGCCAGCGAACUUUCAUUUGCUUGAAGUAAAUUGCUGCUUCCUGCUUUGGCUGCAUAUAGAACAAAGGAAAAUGUUUCAAAUAUGUUAAAAGAGCUAAGGAGAAAGCAAAGCAUGCAUAGACGACAAAUAUGUUGGAAUGCCUCAUACCUGCGAUAAUCAUGAAUAAAGAUCAUCUUUAGUUUAUUAAACCCUGGCGUACAAAAGCCUCUUUGCGAAAGACAGGAGGAAUGUACUAUUUUGCCUUGAGAGCGUCGAUGUGUGAAGAGAAAACAAGGAAUUCUAUUGCACAACUUUAAUUCAUGAUUAAAGGAAAGUUUCUGUACUAAACACAGAGAACGGAUGGCCA